AAACUGAAAUUUGGUUAACCAAGCUAUGGCCGAUAGAAAGAGACACGCGCGGGAUGAAAAUGAAAAAGAGGAUUGCGCCAGUUCAAAGCGGCCAAGAUUUUAUCCGCUGAAACGAAACCUUUUCAUGCUGUACGGCAAAAACCCUGCUUCAAAUAAGAAUAUUGCAGUGGUUGAGCAAAACUCAUUAUUGAAAUAAUGAGUUUUGCUCAAUCAAUCUGGGGUAGAAAAAAUUGUUCGAAGAUGAAGCAUUCAACACACAUCUGGUCAAAAUUGGUGGAGAGACGCAUUUAAGAUUAUCAUCCGUGGAAAUUCUUCCUAUUCAUCUUUUGGUUAAUUUCCUUUUUUGCUUCAUUUUGUGAUCCCCUUUAAUUUUUUGCAGUUUUCCUCAAAUGUAUCCGAUAUGAUAUAUUUCAUCAGGAAAUAAUUCACUAUGGAAGCUGUUAGUCUAGGAAUGUUCUUUCAUUUUAAUGUAGUGUUUAAUCGAAAGGAAAAACAUUUGCCAGCAGAAGUAACGAUCCCCAAUAUUUAAGAGGUAAUUGUAUAAGAUCAAGGAAAAUAUGUAAUUCUCCGAAAUGUUAAUUUGUUGUCCGAAAAUACU